CACAAUAUGAUUUAGUGGUUAAAGCGCUUGGACGGUAUCCAAGAGGGGCGGGUUUAAAUCUCGCUGCAGUCA
rnacentral:tRNA from 1 species